rnacentral:rRNA from 1 species
UACGAAGGGGGCUAGCGUUGCUCGGAAUCACUGGGCGUAAAGCGCACGUAGGCGGCUUCUUAAGUCAGGGGUGAAAUCCUGGAGCUCAACUCCAGAACUGCCUUUGAUACUGAGGAGCUUGAGUCCGGGAGAGGUGAGUGGAACUGCGGAGUGUAGAGGUGAAAUUCGUAGAUAUUCGCAAGAACACCAAUGGCGAAGGCAGCUCGCUGGGACGUGACUGACGCUGAGACGCGAAAAGCGUGGGGAGCAAACAGGG